rnacentral:miRNA from 14 species
GUGAGGGGAGCUGAGGUGGGAGGUCAAGAAGGGCAAGAGGUGAGAAACCUCAACGAUAACUCCAGGCUCUCCUUCC